UACGUAGGGGGCUAGCGUUGUCCGGAUUUAUUGGGCGUAAAGAGCGUGUAGGCGGCCAGGUAGGUCUGGUGUGAAAACUCGAGGCUUAACCUUGAGAUGUCAUCGGAAACCAUUUGGCUAGAGUCCGGAAGAGGAAAGUGGAAUUCCUAGUGUAGAGGUGAAAUUCGUAGAUAUUAGGAAGAACACCAGUGGCGAAGGCGGCUCACUGGUCCGGUACUGACGCUGAGGUGCGAAAGCGUGGGGAGCAAACAGG
rnacentral:rRNA from 1 species